CGUCGCGGCCUAUCAGCUUGUUGGCGGUGUAAUGGACCACCAAGGCGACGACGGGUAGCUGGUCUGAGAGGAUGGCCAGCCACAUUGGGACUGAGAGACGGCCCAGACUCCUACGGGAGGCAGCAGUGGGGAAUCUUGCGCAAUGGCCGAAAGGCUGACGCAGCGACGCCGCGUGUGGGAUGAAGCAUUUCGGUGUGUAAACCACUGUUGCCCGGGACGAAACCGCCUUUUCGAGGGCGUUGACGGUACCGGGUGAGGAAGCACCGGCUAACUCCGUGCCAGCAGCCGCGGUAAUACGGAGGGUGCGAGCGCUGUCCGGAAUCACUGGGCGUAAAGGGCGCGUAGGCGGUUGGAGAAGGCUGUGGUGAAAGUCCGGGGCUCAACCCCGGAUCGGCCGUGGCGACUCUCUGACUGGAGCACUGUAGAGGCGGGUGGAAUUCCGGGUGUAGCGGUGGAAUGCGUAGAGAUCCGGAAGAACACCGGUGGCGAAGGCGGCCCGCUGGGCAGUAGCUGACGCUGAGGCGCGACAGCGUGGGGAGCAAACAGGAUUAGAUACCCUGGUAGUCCACGCCGUAAACGAUGGGCACUAGGUGCUUGGGGGAGCGACCCUCCGAGUGUCGGCGCUAACGCAUUAAGUGCCCCGCCUGGGGAGUACGG
rnacentral:rRNA from 1 species